rnacentral:rRNA from 1 species
AACGAACGCUGGUGGCAGGCCUAACACAUGCAAGUCGAGCGAAGCCUUCGGGCUUAGCGGCGGACGGGUGAGUAACGCGUGGGAACGUGCCCUUUGGUACGGAAUAGCCCCGGGAAACUGGGAGUAAUACCGUAUGUGGUCGAGAGACGAAAGAUUUAUCGCCAAAGGAUCGGCCCGCGUUGGAUUAGGUAGUUGGUGGGGUAAUGGCCUACCAAGCCGACGAUCCAUAGCUGGUUUGAGAGGAUGAUCAGCCACACUGGGACUGAGACACGGCCCAGACUCCUACGGGAGGCAGCAGUGGGGAAUCUUAGACAAUGGGGGAAACCCUGAUCUAGCCAUGCCGCGUGAUCGAUGAAGGCCUUAGGGUUGUAAAGAUCUUUCAGUGGGGAAGAUAAUGACUGUACCCACAGAAGAAGCCCCGGCUAACUCCGUGCCAGCAGCCGCCGUAAGAC